rnacentral:tRNA from 1 species
GCUGCUAUGGCUCAGUUGGUAGAGCGCGUCCUUGGUAAGGACGAGGUCAUCAGUUCGACUCUGAUUAGCAGCUCCA